CGUAGCCGAGUGAUUAAGACACCAGGCUACUAACCUGAGGUCUGUGGUUCGAGCCCGGU
rnacentral:tRNA from 11 species